UUGUCCACGUUGUAUUAUAAUUAUUUGGCUUUGCGUUGCAUUUGAUCAUAUAGUAAGAUGCAUCUGUUGCUGCAACUCUCUCUGGCAUGUUCGAUCAUUGCCGGAUGUUCUACGCAGACUCGGCGCCCUGGCAUGCGGUGCUAUUACAAAGGACAAUGGUACGCGCACGGUUCAACGUUCCAAGACGAAUGCAAUACUUGCUGUUGCUACAACGGGUCUGUAAGCUGUACAGAAUUUGCAU